rnacentral:tRNA from 1 species
GGUCGAAUAGUUCAGUGGUAGAACGUCCCCCGCACAAAAAGCACCUGUAAUUCCUCCUCGAUUUUGGAUAUCGAGACGUGCACGCGUUUAACGUGCCCUGGAGGUUGCACAGGUGUCGUCUGGGUGGAGACCUGGGUUCGAUUCCCAGUUUGAUCA